rnacentral:rRNA from 1 species
GAUGAACGCUGGCGGCGUGCCUAAUACAUGCAAGUCGAGCGAACAGAUGAGGAGCUUGCUCCUCUGACGUUAGCGGCGGACGGGUGAGUAACACGUGGAUAACCUACCUAUAAGACUGGGAUAACUUCGGGAAACCGGAGCUAAUACCGGAUAAUAUAUUGAACCGCAUGGUUCAAUAGUGAAAGACGGUUUUGCUGUCACUUAUAGAUGGAUCCGCGCCGCAUUGGCUAGUUGGUAAGGUAACGGCUUACCAAGGCGACGAUGCGUAGCCGACCUGAGAGGGUGAUCGGCCACACUGGAACUGAGACACGGUCCAGACUCCUACGGGAGGCAGCAGUAGGGAAUCUUCCGCAAUGGGCGAAAGCCUGACGGAGCAACGCCGCGUGAGUGAUGAAGGUCUUCGGAUCGUAAAACUCUGUUAUUAGGGAAGAACAAAUGUGUAAGUAACUAUGCACGUCUUGACGGUACCUAAUCAGAAAGCCACGGCUAACUACGUG